rnacentral:rRNA from 1 species
CAGCCGCCGCGGGAAUACGAGGGGGGCAAGCGUUGUUCGGAAUUAUUGGGCGUAAAGGGUGCGUAGGCGGCUUGACAAGUCUUGUGUGAAAUCUAUGGGCUCAACCCAUAGUCUGCACGGGAAACUGUCGGGCUUGAGAAUGGGAGAGGUGAGUGGAAUUUCCGGCGUAGCGGUGAAAUUCGUAGAUAUUCGGAGGAACACCAGUGGCGAAGGCGGCUCACUGGUCCAUUACUGACGCUGAGGUGCGGAAGCGUGGGGAGCAAACAGGAUUAGAUACCCCAGUAGUCCCUGUCUCUUAUAC